UAGCCAUCUAAAAACCUUUCCAUGUUCACAAAGAGAGUGAAACUGUUCUAAUAUUUUUUUCAGAUGAAAAUUGGAGAUUUGAGGUCUUCAGUUGUGAAAAGUCAGAGGUCACACUCUGAUUAAGUUCUACUGUCGUUCUCCAGCAGGGGUCUUGUAAAGGCAGGUGUGUGGGAAAAUAAAACUUCCCAGACUUCUUUCCAGACUCCCCAGAGCUCCUAUAAAAUCCCUUCGCCCCCGCUAAGAUACAGAAAUGAAUACAACACAAAGGGAAAGAAUAUACAGGACAUGAAGACAGGGAAUGUGUAUGAUAUGAAGUCAGGACAUGAAGACAGGGAAUGUUCAGGACAUGAAGAUAAAGAAUAUAUAGGAUGUGAAGAUAGAAACCAUUUAGGACAUGAAGACAGGGAAUGUACAGGACAUGAAGACAGGGAAUGUGUAUGAUAUGAAGACAGGACAUGAAGACAGGGAAUGUGUAUGAUAUGAAGACAGGGAAUGCAUAUAUGAAGUCAGGACAUGAAGAUAAAGAAUAUAUAGGAUGUGAAGAUAGAAACCAUUUAGGACAUGAAGACAGGGAAUGUAUAUGAUAUGAAGACAGGGAAUGUGUAUGAUAUGAAGACAGGACAUGAAGACAGGGAAUGUGUAUGAUAUGAAGACAGGACAUGAAGACAGGGAAUGCGUAUGAUAUGAAGUCAGGACAUGAAGAUAAAGAAUAUAUAGGAUGUGAAGAUAGAAACCAUUUAGGACAUGAAGACAGG